AACGCAAAUUGCGCCUUCUUUCGGAAGGCAUGUCUGUUUGAGGGCACCAUUUAACAAAUAAUGUGCGCGUCGUUUAUGGACGAUGUGCACACGUUGAUGAGCUUUUCCGAAAAAACCAGGUUUUUUUGGUGGCGCAUAAUGAACAGCGUGGGCUUUUUCUUCGAUUCUCGUGUAGUAAAUGUUCAACGCUUGGGUUGAGAAAAAGUGCGUGCCGCGCAAUGGGUGUGGCGAAUUUUACCCCUGCCCCAAUGCCACUCUUUCCCUGCGAAAGAACAUCUUUUAUUCAGGGCCUCAAAUCAGACAAGAGUACCCGCUGAACUUAA
rnacentral:misc_RNA from 1 species